GUUUGCAAUGGCUUAUGGGUAGUUUGAACACACACAACAUAGCGUUCCGCCAUUAAUCUAGUUGAAGCCAAUGGCAAAAGAAAGUGGACGCUCUGUUUUGGGAUUGCUUCAUUGUCAAGCAACACAUCAUGGUGAGGAUUCUUUGGGCAGAUGGAAUGAAACCUGCUGAUGUUGGCUCAGAAUCAAAGUGACAACAGCAUAACUCAAUGAAAAGUUAGAAAUGGUGCAAAGAUUUUAAAGCAGAAAGGACAAGUGUAACCAACAAAGCUCGAUCUGGUCGACCAUCAACAUCUGACACACAAUCUCACAUCGUCAUGGUGAAUGCCUUCAUCAGAGAAGACCUACAGAUCACAUUGUCUGCUGUUGCUGCACAUAUGGAUAUCAGCUAUGGAUGUGGAUCUGCACAUGGGGCACAGUAAUGUUUGCACAAGAUGUGUACCCGAACAGCUUACUGAUCUUCACAAGCCAACCUCCUUCAGUGAAUUUCAGCAGCUUUCACUUCUGCCUAAAGAUCUAUCAUAAUGCUGUGGUGUUCAACAAUGGUGCAUUCUUGAAACACAGCCUUCAUGUUCAUUUGACCUUGGCUUCAACUAGACUUAACAGCAGAGCACUGCAUUGUGUGUGUUUCAACUACCCAUAAGCCAUUGUGAACUUGUAUAAUGUUAGCUUCUAUCCAUGGUGCUUACCACAUCAUUUUCAAGUUGCCUUUACUUUUUGAUUCAACUCGGCAAAAGGAUUUUAUAUUUGAAAUAUGAACGAUUUUACAAUAAAUUAUGGUUUAUUGUCAGACCAUUUCUACCACGCUUGAUUAUGUGUACACACACAAGUGUCCCACACAAACAUGCAAAAAUAUCUGACAAGCAUGUAAUAUUUUCUCAUCUGUUCAAGAAAUGUUUUCUUUUUUUUUUCGGUAAUGCCCCUUCAGUGGCUCUGUAAUCUUGUAUGUAAGUUCUUUUCAACUUAUUGUCUUUAAUUUGGCCUUUUCAUGCCCUGACUGUUUUGUUUUUUCAGAGCAAUAUCCUACUAACACCAUAAGAAUGCAACUGGGAAAAUACACAGUGGAAAUGCAAUCAUUUUAGAAGUGGUUUUGGCCAAAGGGAAUGAUUAGAUAAUCUUGGGCAGUUGUCACCAGAGAAUUCUUGUAAGUUUUAAAUAUAUGGAGGAGUUGUCUUCUGUUUUAGUAGUGACAAGAUUUCGAGGCAGAUUAUGCACCUCCAGUCCACAUUAUAGAGAUGAUUGUAGCCCAUGGGUAUUUGAAACUGCGUCUCCUGCAAAGCAGAAGCUGAAUGUGAGUAUUAUUAUUAGGCUGGCAUAUCUUAGCCAGAGGGCAAACUCUGCUGUGUUUACAACAGAAGAAAUCAAUAUCCACUGAAUCUUCCUGCUGCUAAAAUGAAGGGAACAGGCACGUGUCUUCAUAAACUGUCAGCCUGCUGUGCUGUGGAUUUUCUACAAAGGGCUAUCCUCCAUUUUAGUGUUUCGGGAUUCAGAUAUGUCCUGUUUAUAACGUCCUCUUAAUUUUUAACAAAAUAAAUCCAGUUCAUUUGACAAUCAGA